GCCUUGUGGUGUAAUACACAUUGAAUUGCAAAUUCAAAGAAGCAGCUUCAACCUGCCGGGGCUU
rnacentral:tRNA from 1 species